AUGGCAUUCUAUAUUCAAAAUAAAGACUAGGAGAUGACUGAAGACUCCUGGAAAAGGUGGAGACCCAAGCUUUCCAGGACCUACGGACAGUGAGAUCACACCAUACCAGGUUCAGGGUCUUGGGAAAAGGAUGAGUUACUAGCUGAACCAAAAAUUAAUUUGCACCUCAAGAAAUACAAGUGAAGAGAGAGAUACCCAUCUGCCAGAUCAGCAGCUGUGCAACACAGAAUAUACUGGGCUGUUCCAAAAACACGAUCAACAUUGAAUGCCUGGUUUCCGCCAUUCAGUGAGAACAGCACAUCAGUCAGACUCGAAUACAGCUAGAUUACAUUUCCAUAUCUGCAUUGCAGUUAGAAGUGGAGAACUGGCAAACAGAACGUGAAGAAUGACAGGUCUGUGUUUCCCUUUUUCAGGCUGAG